rnacentral:rRNA from 1 species
UGAACGCUGGCGGCGUGCCUACUACAUGCAAGUCGAGCGAACAGACGAGGAGCUUGCUCCUCUGACGUUAGCGGCGGACGGGUGAGUAACACGUGGAUAACCUACCUAUAAGACUGGGAUAACUUCGGGAAACCGGAGCUAAUACCGGAUAAUAUAUUGAACCGCAUGGUUCAAUUGUGAAAGACGGUUUUGCUGUCACUUAUAGAUGGAUCCGCGCCGCAUUAGCUAGUUGGUAAGGUAACGGCUUACCAAGGCAACGAUGCGUAGCCGACCUGAGAGGGUGAUCGGCCACACUGGAACUGAGACACGGUCCAGACUCCUACGGGAGGCAGCAGUAGGGAAUCUUCCGCAAUGGGCGAAAGCCUGACGGAGCAACGCCGCGUGAGUGAUGAAGGUCUUCGGAUCGUAAAACUCUGUUAUUAGGGAAGAACAAAUGUGUAAGUAACUAUGCACGUCUUGACGGUACCUAAUCAGAAAGCCACGGCUAACUACGUG